rnacentral:rRNA from 1 species
CCACUCAUUCAAAGAGUGCGUAAUAGCUCACUGGUCGAGUGGUUUUGCGCAGAAAAUGUAACGGGGCUAAGUGUUCAACCGAAGCUUAGGCAUUGCAGUAAUGCAUUGGGUAGGGGAGCGUCGUAUGCGGGGCGAAGUCAGAGCGGAAGCACUGGUGGACUGCAUACGAGUGAGAAUGCCGGAAUAAGUAGCGAGAAUUAUGUGAGAAUCAUAAUGGCCGAAAAUCUAAGGUUUCUUGGGGAAGGUUCGUCCGCCCAAGGUUAGUCGGGAGCUAAGCUCAGGCCGAGAGGCGUAGGCGAUGCACAUACGGUAGAAAUUCCGUAACCACCGAACAUUUAAGCUAGAGGGACGCUUUCUUUAAGGUUAUCCCGGGCGAUGGUUGCCCCGGGCGUAAGGGACCGAAAUAUAGUAGGGAAGUAACUGGCGAGAGAGACGAGAAAAGCUCUAGUGUAUACUAAGGUGCCCGUACCGCAAACCGACACAGGUAGAAGAGGAUGAGUAUUCUAAGGCCAACGGGAGAAGGGUUGUUAAGGAACUCGGCAAAUUGGCCCCGUAACUUCGGGAUAAGGGGCGCCUGCGAGAGCAGGCCGCAGUGAAAAGGCCCAAGCGACUGUUUAGCAAAAACACAGCUCUCUGCUAAAUCGAAAGAUGACGUAUAGGGGGUGACGCCUGCCCGGUGCUGGAAGGUUAAGGGGAGUGCUUAGCGCAAGCGAAGGUGCGAACUUAAGCCCCAGUAAACGGCGGCCGUAACUAUAACGGUCCUAAGGUAGCGAAAUUCCUUGUCAGGUAAGUUCUGACCCGCACGAAUGGCGUAACGAUUUGGGCACUGUCUCAACAGCCCGCCCGGCGAAAUUGUAGUACCGGUGAAGAUGCCGGUUUCCCGCAACUAGACGGAAAGACCCCAUGGAGCUUCACUGUAGCUUGAUAUUGGACUUCGGUAUUCCAUGUACAGGAUAGGUGGGAGGCUAGGAAGCGAGCGCGCCAGCGUUCGUGGAGCCGUCCUUGGGAUACCACUCUUGGGAUAUUGGAGUUCUAACCUGCGACCAUGAAUCUGGUCGGGGGACAUUGUCAGGU